rnacentral:tRNA from 1 species
GCCUUCGUGGCGUAGCUGGUUAUCGCGUAAGUCUCAUACCACUUUGUAUGACUGAGCUUCAAGCUUGGAUAUCUUAAGGCCGUGAGUUCGAACCUCACCGAGGGCA